rnacentral:rRNA from 1 species
ACGCUGGCGGCACGCCUAACACAUGCAAGUCGAACGGAGUAGCAAUACUUAGUGGCAGACGGGUGAGUAACAUGUAGGUAUCUACCCUAUGGCCUGGAAUAACACGAGGAAACUUGUGCUAAUACCGGAUAAGUCUUUACGGAGAAAGCUUUAUGCACCAUUGGAUGAGCCUGCACUUGAUUAGUUUGUUGGUAGGGUAAUGGCCUACCAAGACUUUGAUCAAUAGCUGAUUUGAGAGGAUGAUCAGCCACAUUGGGACUGAGACACGGCCCAAACUCCUACGGGAGGCAGCAGUGGGGAAUCUUGCACAAUGGAGGAAACUCUGAUGCAGCGAUGCCGCGUGAGUGAAGAAGGCCCUUGGGUUGUAAAGCUCUUUCGUCGGGGAAGAAAAUGACUGUACCCGAAUAAGAAGGUCCGGCUAACUUCGUGCCAGCAGCCGCGGUAAUACGAAGGGACCUAGCGUAGUUCGGAAUUACUGGGCUUAAAGAGUUCGUAGGUGGUUGAAAAAGUUGGUGGUGAAAUCCCAGAGCUUAACUCUGGAACUGCCAUCAAAACUUUUCAGCUAGAGUUUGAUAGAGGAAAGCAGAAUUUCUAGUGUAGAGGUGAAAUUCGUAGAUAUUAGAAAGAAUACCAAUUGCGAAGGCAGCUUUCUGGAUCAUUACUGACACUGAGGAACGAAAGCAUGGGUAGCGAAGAGGAUUAGAUACCCUCGUAGUCCAUGCCGUAAACGAUGUGUGUUAGACGUUGGAAAUUUAUUUUCAGUGUCGCAGCGAAAGCGAUAAACACACCGCCUGGGGAGUACGACCG